UACGUAGGUGGCAAGCGUUGUCCGGAAUUAUUGGGCGUAAAGCGCGCGCAGGCGGUCUUUUAAGUCUGAUGUGAAAGCCCACGGCUCAACCGUGGAGGGUCAUUGGAAACUGGGGGACUUGAGUGCAGAAGAGGAAAGUGGAAUUCCAAGUGUAGCGGUGAAAUGCGUAGAGAUUUGGAGGAACACCAGUGGCGAAGGCGACUUUCUGGCUGUAACUGACGCUGAGGCGCGAAAGCGUGGGAGCAACAGG
rnacentral:rRNA from 1 species